UGAGGUCGCUUCUUCAGCCGCCGGAGGGAUCGCACGCACGCUCGCCAGCCCGGCCCGGGGCGGGGGUGCGGUCAGGCCGCCGAGGGGCAGCCGGGGUCAGGAGAAGCGGCGGGGGUGCGAGGGCGAGGGCGUCCCGGGUCAGGCUGCAGCAGACACACUGGAGCGGGGACAGGUUUCGCCUGCUGGACGCGGCGCUCACCUCCGUGAGGACCGCGGCACGGGACCACCUCGGAGGAGCCCUCGUGAGCGUGAGGGGCGCGGCCUGCUGCAGGUCACAGAGGCGCCAUGCGGCCUCGGGCCCACUUUCCCUGACUGGUCGGUCCGGAAACCCAGCUCUCCACAGACACCUCAGCCCAACUGCAAACCCAGAGAAGGGGCGGCCUCUGUCCUCCAAGGCUGCGCCCGCCUGGGCCCUGGUGCGAACCCGGGUCUCCCGCCACACCUUCUGUCAGGCCUCGUGCGUGGGCCGCUUCCCUGGAUUUCCGCCGUGGGGUGCUAACAGACCUAGGCCGCGCUGCUCUGGGCCCCCACUGGGUGCCAGGCCUGCAGCCCUGAGAUGAGCCUCCCGCCUCCCGCCUCCGCCACCUUCUCCUGUACGCAGGCUGCCCGCCCGCCCGGCCAAGGCACAGGUUUCUUCAGAGUGGGAGCUAAUGCAUUCACCUUGACGAAGCCCAGCUCUUCCCUUUCACGGAAGAAUCUUGUUCAUCCUUCACUCUGUCCUGGAGCUACAGAACUAAGGAAGGUUUUCAAGGUAAUUUGUACCCAAGGACAGAAAAAGAAAAUUCUAUUAGUCACUUGGACAUCCAGAUAGUCAUUUUUCAUCCUAGGCAUUGUUGAAUCUGUUUGUCCCUGCCCGUCCACAUGAAGGCUUUAAGUGAUUCCUGUAGGACCCUGGCCUGCACGUGGUAACUUCAGGUGUACAUAGAACAUCUCACCCUCUUUUGCCUGGGAUCUCAUUGCCUCAGUGUGCAAGGACCAACAUGGGGCAUGCAUACAGCACCCCGGGUCAGGUGGUUUUCACUUUGGGGCCAAGCUUGCCUCCAUGAGACCUCUGAAACACUUCUUCCUGCCCCCCUCUUUUUUUUUCUUGACCCUUCUUUUCCAAGGGGACGGUCAAGUGGAUGAGCCCCGUGUACACCCUUAAGAAUGGUUGCUAAUGUUGACCGACUUUCACAGCAUGACUUCAGGAUGUUCCCUUAGUUAAAGGUCUGAUCUCCAGAUGUGAGGAUGGGGAGGGCAAACAUUAUGGGAAAUGCAGAAGACAGCAGCCCGUCCCACCGACACGGAGGUGGAGGAGCCCCAGAGGGUGGACAUGUGAAGUCUUUCUCCUGCCCCAGUCCAGGCUUCAGUGUCCCCCAUGCAAACAUCUCUUGUGUGCACACGAGGGCUGUGCAGCUGGAGAGGUGACCACAGGGAGGGCCAGCGCUUCCCAAACUGCACACAGCAGCACCCCUGGAGGGUUUGUGGAAGCCCACAUGGCAGGAGGGCAGGCAGCCUGUUUCUCAUGCCAUGAGUCUGGGAUGUGGCUCAAAUAUCUGUAUUGCUAACCCAUUACCAAGUGAUGCUGAUGCUGAUGCUGUAGAUGUAGGGACCUCACUGAGAGAACCGUUGACACAAGCCAGUGAUGCCAGAAGUAGAGUGAGCCACAUGCCAGGAUGUUGGACCUCUACGUAGAGUUGUUCUUUGACAGCCAUUCACUGCAGCUUCUAUCCCACACAUGCCAGGUUAUCUAUCUGAGUCUUCCUUUGUCGAGUACUGAAGGGUCUAAGGCUUACCCUACUUGCAGACUAGCCUGUUAGACUACCACAGAUUCCCAGGUGCUGGCAGAGGAUGUGAGAUACCUGGGUCAGAGACAAAGGACAGGUUAUAGAUUCCAGCCAGAGCAGCAGCCAGAGUAUCAGCAUUUCCACCAGUUCUCCCAGUGCCAGUACCCACAGAGUGACGCCAAGAGGGCUGGGGGAUGCGGGGCCCCAUUUUUUUCCCCUGCAUUUCUCAUUUUUAUUUGACAGAAAAAGUUGCUCUUGCUGUACAGAUUUUAAAAAACCAAAAUGCCUUUAAGAAACGUGAAGAAAAGUUGAGGGAGGGGCCACAACCUCACUGGGGGGCAGUAGAGGCCAACUAAUUUCCACUCCUGCCCCUUCCCUCUGGGAACACCUCACACAAGUUCCCAAGUUCCAAACCACCGCCCCCCAGGAACUUGGGGGUAAAAGGGGGCAUCAUGGCCUCCCAGACCCCUUCUAACUCAAGACCAGGGUGUCCCCAAAUGUAUCCUCCCCUCCCACAACUCCCAUUCUCAUUUCCACCCACCCCAAACCCCCCAAAACGUGAACCAGGAAAAACUCACAGAGAUUAACAUUUCAGAGAAACAAAGAAAAAAGGGGGGAGAGAGCCCUGCACUUUGUAAUGGGCAGUAAGCCUACCUGACUUUUGCCUAGGAAGGAGAUAUUUCUUUAUUCUACUGACACUAAAAAACACACUUGCUCCAAGGGUAGACACUGUUCUCAUAUUUCAAGGCUGUUUGCCAUACAAACAUUCUGAAAACCAGGAUCUGGAACAAGGCAUCCUGUGCCUCUUCUCUCAAGAUGUGCAGAAACCUGAAAGGCCAAUGGAGGAUCGUCUCCAAACACAUUUGCACUCCUACCAACACUUCUCUUUGAAAAUUGCCAAGAGGCAAAAUUUGUUGAAGGCCACAAAGGUAGGCAGAAUAAUGCCUACCCCGCCCCAAGGCAUUCACAUUCUCCUCCCUAGAACCUAUGAAUAUAUUACCUGACACGGUGUAAUAGUCUCUAGGGGCUCCCAUAACAAAAUAUCAUAUGCUUGGUGGCUGAAAACAUCAGGCAUUAAUUUUAUUGUGCUUUUGGAGGCUAGAAGUCUAAAAUCAAGGUGUUGGCCGGGCCACGGUCCCUCUGAAGCUUGUAAGGGAGGACCCUCCCUUGCCUCUUCUAACUUGUGAUGGCUCCUGGCAUUCCUUGGCUUGUAGAUACAGCACUUUGCUUCCAUUUCCACAGUGUGCUCCCUGUGUGUCGUGUCUUCUUAUAUGACACCAGUCAUAUUGGAUGAGGAGCCCACUCUACUUUACUGUGACUUCAUUUUAACUAACUACAUCUUCCAUGACCCUGUUUCCAAACAAAGUCACAUUCUCAGGUACUGGAAGUUGGAACUUCAAUGUACCAUUUUUGAUUGGGGGGCACACAAUUCAAUUCAUAACACAUAAAAAAAUUCAUAACACAUGACACAGAGGACUUCACGUUGGCAAUCAAAUCGACUUUAAAAUAAGCCGAUUAUCCUGGAUUAUUUGGGUGGACCCAAGGUAAUCACAAUAUUCCUUAGAAGUGGAAGAGGCAAGUGAAACAGCCCUUCGGAGUGAUGAAAUAGGAGAAGGACUCAACUCGCCACUGCCGGCUUUGAAGACAGAGAGGGGACCAGCAACCAAGGAAUGUGGGCAGCCUCUAGAUGUGGGAAAACACCAGGUGUCAGAUUCUCCCCUAGAGCCUCCAGAAAGAUGCUCAGCCUUGCUGACAGCUUGAUUUCUACCCAGUGAGGACUACCAACUUACAGAAAUGUAAGGUAAUGAAUGUGUGUUGUUUUGGUCCACCAAGUUUGUGGCCAUUUGUUUUUUGAGGGUUUUUUGUUGUUUUUAAAGAUUUUAUUUAUUUAUUCAUGAGAGACACAGAGAGGCAGAGACAUAGGCAGAGGGAGAAGCAGGUUCCCUGCAGGGAAGCCCAAUGUGGAACUCCAUCUAUUCCAGGAUCCUGGGAUCACAACCUGAGCCGAAGGCAGACGCUCAACCACUGAUCCACCCAGUUUUCCCAGCAUUUGUUACAGCAGCCUAGGAAAGGCUAGCAACUUCGAUCACAGCUGGGAUACAAGUUCAUUUCCCAAGCUAUUUUCCAUGUUGUCCUGUAUGGCACAAAUUAAAUAUCUUUCAUAUAUCAUUGUUUGCCAUUUAUAAUCCACAAUUUAUGUCUAUAACUAUUUCAGAAUCUCAGAAAGAAGGAAUUCUCUUUGCAUCCCUCUUUUUACCUUAUUUGCAGUCUUGCAUUUCAUGGCACCACUUUCAGGUGACUGGAAUCACAGCACUGCUUUACAUUAGGCUUUGCUUUGUUUUUCAAUUAAAAUCUUUUGUUGGUAGAAGAUAGAAGCAGUGCUUGCUUGCUUAAGGUCUGUUUAUCUAGCCUGAUGACGCCAUGUUUGUAUAACAGGAGCUCAGGAAGUUAAUCAAUAUUUGUGAUGAAACAACACCCUCCUCCUCAGUGCGCACAAUGGCUUGGAAGGUUUGAGUUGUUUAUAUUACAACUAUGCUGGCCACUUAUUCUCUAUAUUGUUUGUGCUUUGAGGGGAGAGACUAGGUCUUUGCAUUCUCCAAAGCCUUAUACAUCUGAGACUUUUACUAAAUAAUGAUGAAUUAUCGAAGCUGGGGAUAGUUGUUUUCUGGAGAUGUUUACUUGUGUUCUGGAAGCUUUGAUUUCCUGUAUCUUUUUAUUGUUGUCUGUUCUCCUGGCGUCCCUCCAGUCACCACCUCAUCUUUCUGUAACUAAGCUUCCUGAAACAGAACAAAGUACUCCAGGUGUGGUCUCAUUUUAGUCUCUGAACUGUGAGGUAAUGCUUCUCUUCAUAAUGAUACCUUGUUCUUACCUGGCACCUUACAAAUAAAUUUCACUGCUGGUGAAGAGAGUAUGUGUGUGCGCCUGCGCGCGUGCACACGUGUACACACACACACACACACACACACACACUUGCUCACUUCCAAAAGCUGGGCAAAAGUAGGUUAUCAGCUCCUUCAGAAAACAGAGAACUGCCAGCUCGGUGCCUCCAUAUUUUUUCAAGGGAUCCACUUAAUAGCACAAUGUGUUUCUGAUGAAAGCUAAUAAUAUUAUCUUGAAAUUUUAGAAUACCUGUCCCGUGAGUGUCAAAGAACCAGGAGAAAUGUAAGUUUACCUUUAUAACAUCCCUAUGGGAACAGCACCUCUGCUUUUAAAUGUGACCCAUUAUUUUGCUUGAGUAUAAGGUGGGAAGCUUUUGGGAAAAAUCUACCCAGAGGGUGGGGCUUCUGAAAGAGUAUCCAGAGUGAUAUCAGCGAAAGAGUAUUCAGGAAUGUGGCUGCCAGGGAGGGAGAUUUAACUGCAGUUUAUUUGAAGGAGAAUGUAAUUUUUCUAGAAGAAUCAAAUAAUUACUGAAUAAUAUCAGAUAAUGAGAGUUUUCUGAACUCUUAGGAUGUUUUGGUGUCAGUUGGAGCUCACCACUUACCACCAUCCAGAAACAUGCAGUUGAACAGCCUCAGGGUUAAGUGAAAGAGGAGGGUUUGGAUUCGCACGGAAGUUUCCAAGCAAAAAUUGAAGUGUCUGAGUUUAGCCUGGCAUGGGUUACACUAAUCUCCUGUGGUCGGGGUGUUGUGAAAAAAUUCCUGACAUAAAUUAUGGUAGAAAACCUGAAUUUAUGUUGUCUUUCUUCUAGGUGUGGGGGCUGCCUUGCUAUUGGCUAAUGCCUCAAGUAUGCUCCAAGUGUCCUGUUAGAUCUAAAAACACCAGUUCUGGGGCUUCUUUGUCUCGUUAACAUAUGUAUAUAGCUUUUAACUCACCAAAUUUUUUCAAAGAGAUGUUUAUUAUGAAGGAAUUUCCACCUGCUGGACACCAGUGCUGACCAAGUUACUCUGCCACAUGCUAGUGUAGCAUUCAGCCUAAAAAUCUUUCAGACCAGGCUAGAUUAGCCCUUAGUCUUUGGAUGUUCAAGUAACGAGCAUGGUGGACAAAUGAAAAUAUAAUUUGCGGCCCCUUGUAAGCUCUAUAGCCUGGUAUGGUCAUAAAGAAUAUCAAGACCAUGAGGACUGGUUAAAUGGGAUGAAUUGCACGAAUGCCAUGCUCAACCACAUUGGAACACGAUGCACAAGGAAAAACCAAUCGUACUGAUCUUGUCUUUAUUUAAAAUAGUGACAUUUUGUUCGUGCUGGAUUUUUUUUGCAUUAAUUCUGAUUUGUUAAAAGAUUGCAGUAAACAUUAUUUAUCUUGAUGACUGAAUUUUUUGGUGUCCCCUUUAAUUUUGCUGCCAAGGCAAAUGAGUCACCUUAGUCUUAGUGCUGAGCCAGAGGUUAGCUCCAUCCCCUCCUGAAGCCCCACUGAGAUGACUGUACUGGGUCUUUCAAAGUCAUAAACCCACAAAGGCAAAGAGAAUCAGAGAAGACCUUAGAAGGUUCGAAUGGAAUGGAAAAGUGGCACUUGGCUUAGUGGAUUGGAGAAAAUGAUGCCCCCAGCUGGCAGUGUCAAACACUGAGAAACAACCUUAUUUACAUCAUAAGAUCCACUUUCUCCACACACAAACUCUUCAAAACUGGUGGAAGCAAGUGCUCCUCUGACUGGUAGUGAGGGAGGACUGGAUAAAGUCUUCUUUAAGAAGUGGCUAGAUUCAGCAGUGGCCUGGAGGUUUAUUUUCUGAAGAGACUAAACUGAGGUUAUCUAGUCUGGGAGCACCAAGUGCAACUGAAGGAAAGAUAUGGAGACAGGAGAGUAAGAGGUAGUUUACAAAUAAAUAAAACUCCAGUUUUGGGUUCAAAACUCCAGACUCCUUCCCAUCUUAGGAUAGGAACUGGCCAUAUACCCUUCAGGUAGAUUCAAAGUGUCUUUUCUGGAAAACCUCACCAGGUGAUGAGAAAUACCUAAAACACUGACCCCAGGAGCUCCUAAGGACAUGGGCCAGCCUGACCAUCCUAUAGGAAAGACUGUGGGCCAUAAGCACCACAAGUCUUCCAGUAAACCCUUAGCAGCCCCCUCUUACACAUUGGCUGACAAGGAUCAUCAGGCAAGAUACACAGGGUCAAGUAUAUCCCAGCAAUAAUGAAAAGCAAAGCAACAGGAAAAGAGCAUCUUGUAGAAGCAGAGACCACUCAAACAGAAGAAAAGAACAACUUCAAGGAGGUAAGAGAAGACACUACAUCCAUAAAACAAGAAGAGCAUCUUGUAUAAAAGGAAUAUGCAAGGUACAAAAUAAAUCUGAGAAAAUAAAAAUAUGAAAACUGAAAUUUAAAACCCAGUAAGAAAGUUGAAGGGUAAUGUAGAAGAAAUCUUCCAGAAAGUAGAGUAAAAAGAUUUUUAAAAAUUAAAGGUAGGAAAAAAUAAGAAAAUUAGAGAAUCAAUCCUGGUAACAGGAAAUCAAUGAGUGAAUCAUAGGAACAAAAACAAGAAGCAGUGGGAAGGAAAUUAGUUAGAAAUAACAGAGGAACCCUUCCUAAAACCAAAGAAGGCUAUUUUCUAGAUGGAAAGGGCCCACCAUAUAUCCUGUCCAAAGUAUGAAAAUGGUCUACACCAACCAAAGUACUUCAGAAUUUCAGUGUUGGGGACAAAGAGAAGACUCAAAGCACUUGCAGAGACAAACAUGUGGCUCACAGGUAAAGAAUCAAGAAUCAGAACGACAUUAUAUUUAAAAUGAUAAUAAAAGGAACUGCUUUGGAAAAAACAAAAAAAAUCAGAAUUACGUUAAUUAGACUUCUUGGUAUCAAUCUCAGAAGCUAGAAGACAAUGAAGCAAUGCUUUCCAAAUUCCAAGAAGAAAUUAUUUCUGUCCUAGAAUCCUAUCCCUUGCCAGAAAAAUCCACUGAAUGUGAGGGUAGAACAAAGACCUUUGAGGAUAUACAAAAUUUCAAGAAAUUCACUUCAUGAAGAAAUUACUGAGGAAGCUGCUACAUAUCCUCCCAAAAACCACAGAAGAGGAAGAAUUGGAAUAUAGAAAACAAAGGAUAUGGCAGAGACAUUUCUUUGGGAAAAAUGACCUGAUAUCCUCACAUGUUUGGAUAUAUAGAAAGGAGAUUUACACAAGGAUACUGUUUGGGUGUAUGGUGGUAAUAAAUACGCAGGGAGUUAAGUGCAUGUGUGCAUACACACAGUACAGUGAAAAGCUCUGGGGAAAACAGUAUUGUGCAAGAAAGAAAAAGUAACAGUAUACUGUGACUCAGCUGUAAAUAGCAUUUGCAAGCAUAAUUAUAUAAACACCAAAUACUGCUACAACCAA